CGGGGGGCGCUGGGAAACCAGCUGGCGCAUGCGCGGGGAUAAGCAUUUGGCGCUUGUACUAUCCAGAAUGUCGGAGAUGGGCAGCCAAUGAACAGGGAGGAUUCUCACGACUAAGCCGAUCUGACACCCUGGAGCUAGAGAUUUGGAAGAAGUCUCAUUUUCGCUUUCUGGGUCGCACUAUACCUAAGUCGGAUGCUUGGGAGGUCUCGGGGCUUCCUGGAAAGUGCAGUCUAAUUCGAGCGGAGCCUCCAUCAUGGUGCCCGUUUCUUCUGAAGGUACCCUUGUGUAUGAAAGAACCUGACAGAAUGAACAUUCAUGAAAACCCCUAGACUGGCAUCCAACAUGGACCUCACUAUUGAUAAGAAAGUAAAAG
rnacentral:lncRNA from 1 species